AUAUGCAGCCAUAGCACCCUGAGGACGCCCCAGCUCAUCUGAUGUGGGAAGCUAAGCAGGGUCGGCCCCGGUCGGUGCUUGGAUGGGAGACCAGCUGGGAAUGGGGGUGCUCAGAGA
rfam:Patagioenas fasciata monilis isolate BTP2013 Sc31e1R_305, whole genome shotgun sequence.